AAAAAAAAAAAAAAAAAAAGUGUGCUAGGAUGAGUGGCACUAAGAGUCUGUUUGGAUGAGGUGAGGGAAGGUUAAAUAAUGAAAGGAUAAGAAAGAGUAAGGAAGGGGAAGGUAAGGAGAAUUACAAUAAAAAAAAUCUCAUGUUGGGGAAGGAGUGAAUUAAUGGAAAUGUAUGGAGAGGUAAUGUAUAUUCUUUAUGUUUUGGAAGAGGUGAAGGAGGGGUAAAUUUAAACGGUGUAUAAAU
rnacentral:misc_RNA from 1 species